rnacentral:lncRNA from 10 species
GGCGCCUGUAAUCCCAGUAAUCGAGAGGCUGAGGCAGGAGAAUCGCUUGAACCCAGGAGGCGCAGGUUGCAGUGAGGCAAGAUCAUGCCACUGCACUCCAGCAUGGGCAACAGAGCGAGACUCAGUCUUAAAAAAAAAAAAUUCUAACAGUACAAUGUAAUCCCUAAAAGUAAGGUUAAUCACUUUAAAGUCAGAGGCAAGACAAGUAUGUCCACUAUCUGCUUCUAUUGGAGUUGCAUUAGAGGUCCUUGCUUGUGCAGUUACAUGCAGACAAUAAAUUUAAAAAUACAAACACUGGAACAGAAAAAACAACCAAAGAGUCAUUUUCUACAGAAGAUAUAAUUAUCUAUAAAGAAAACCCAAAAUAAUUAACAGAGAUAUUAUUAGAAUUAAUAAGAGAGUUUAGCAAUUUGGCUAAAAAUAAGAUCAAACAUUUACAUUUUACACCAAUAACAAUAAAGAAAGUAUAGUUAACAAAUAGAUAACAUUUAAAAUAACAACAGAAAUAUACAGUAUCUAAAAAUUUAAUAAAAGAUGUAGAUCAUUGUGGAUAUAAUUUUACAACUUUACUGAAUAACAUCAAAGAAGUCAUAACUAUGUGAAGAGAUGUACCAUGUUCAGGGGUAGGAAGGUUCACUAUCCUAAAAGGUAUAAUUCUUUCCAAAUGUAAUAAAAGAUUCCAAUUUCAUGAGGGUUGUUUUGUUUUGAAAAAUCUUGCCCAAAUAAUUCUAAAAUGUAUAUAAAAAGGCAACAAGGCAAAUACUACUGAAAAAGAUUAAUAGUUUGUGAGAACUUGCCUUAUAAUAACAAUUUAAUGCCACAGCAAUUAAAACAUUGUUGUAUUAUUACAAGGAUAGAUAAAAACACCAAUGAACUUGAACAGAGAGGCCAGACAGUUGGUUUAUGAUGUGGCUGGCAACACAAAUCUCUGGGAAAAGAGAUCCUCUUCAAAAACAUGCUCUAGGACAACUGUUCAGCGAUAUGUGGGGGAAACAAUAUUUGAACCCUACCUCACACCAUUCACAAAAAAGAAAUUCUGUAUGUGUUAAAUAUGAAAGGCAAUUUUAAAGCUUUUAAAAAUAUAGGGGAAAUAUCUUUAUAUCUUAAGAAUUUGGAAAGAAUUUUUAAAAGACACAAACAAACCAUAAAAGAAUUAAUAGAUACAUUUCAUCACAUUAAAAUAUAAACUUUUAUCAUCAAGAAAUAUAAAGAGUGGAAGACAAGCUCCAAACUAGGGGAAAAUAUUUACAACAUAUGUAACUGACAAGGUAUCUAGAAUGUGUCCAGAAAUCCUAAACGUCAAAAGAAAAAAGACAAAUGAUUGUGUAGAAAAAUGAACAGAAGACAUGAAUAGGUCUUUCACAUAGUGGGAUAUUAAAAUGCUCUAAAAACACAUUUUACAGCAUUCAACUCAGCUAGUAAUUAGGGAAAUGCAAAGCAAGAUCACAAUGACAUUCUAUUUUAUAUUCACUAGAUAGGCAAAAUAAAAACGUCUUUCACCAUGAAGUUUUGGAGAGAAUAUGGAGCAACAGAAAGUGUUCCAACACUGCUGGUGGGUGUGUUAAAACUUUGCAAAGCAAUUUGACGUUACCUUGUACACCUGAACAUGUGCACACCCCGAGAAUGUGCAAGCCCAUUACACGGUGAUGCAUGCUCAAGCAUGAUUGUAAACGGCAAGUACUAGCAAUGCUACAAAUAUCUCUAGUAUCCAUCAACAGAAAAACAGAUACACAAACGAAUGUAGCACAGGGACAAAUGUUAGAAACCUUUGUUGAAUGAUACCAGCAUAUCUGAAAUGACUACACGGAUUGUGAUACCGUUAUAUAAACUUGAAAAAAAAGCAGUAUAGUACUUCAGGAAACAUAUGCAUUUUUAAAACUUUUAUAAAACAAGAAAUGAUUUUUAAAAGUUAUAGUAGUUACAUUGGAAGGAUAUACAGGAGCACGUGGGAGACCAUACAAGGAGCUUCAUCAGUAUUAGUAAUAAUCCCAUUCUUAACUUUAGUGAACAGUUUGUGAGUCUUAGCUUUUAAAUUAUUUGUAUAACUUUCAUAUGAUUUUAUAUAUAUAGUUUAUAUAUAUAUAAACUUUUUUAAAGAAGAAGGCUAUGUUAUGCAGUAUAAAUAUACUAUAUGUGUGUACAUAUGUGUAUAUAUAUAUACACAUACACACAUAUGUAUAUAUGUAUAUGUACACAUAUAUAUACACACACACAUACACACAAGCCACUGAAAAUAGAGCCUUUUUUUCCUUAAACAGAAUAUCGAAGAGAAACAUUGCAUUAACUAUAAUUAGUUACAUGCCUGCCUUCUUGGAACACAUUAGGAGUCCAGGCUUUAUUUAAAAAUGUAUUCAUUUAUAUAAAUUCCUGUCUGUCUAUAUUGGUUUUCUAGGACUGCCAUAACAAAUUACUGCAAACUUGGUGGCUUAAAACAACAGAAAUUUAUUCCCUCCCAGUUCUGAAGGCCAGAAGUCUGAAGUAAAGAUGGUAUUGAGUUUGCGCUCCCUCCAAAGGCUCUAAGUGAGAUUCUGUCCCUCCCUUUCCAGUUUCUGGUGGCUCUCAGGAUUCCUGGGCUUAUGGCUGCAUCACUCCAAUCUCUGCCUCCAUCUUCACCCCACCCUCUUCUCUGGGUCUCUCUAGUUUCUUUCUGCCUUUAUCCUAUAAUGACAAAAUUGGAUUUACAGGGCUCAUCCAGAUAGUCUGGAAUGAUCUCAUUUCAAUGUCUUUAACUUAAUUACCUCUGAAAUGACCCUAUUUCCAAAUAAGGUCAUAGUUACAAGUUCCAAGUGGACAUAUUCUGGGAGGAGGAGCACCCUUCAAGCCACAUCACGAUGGGAAAGCCUGAAGAUGAAAGGAAGGUUCCAGGAACAAUGUCAAGAAGAUAGAAGCGGGUUCAAGAGGAAGUUUGUUUGCAGGGCAUGGCCAGUGGGAAGUUGGCUAUAAGAGUAAUGUUGGAAUCAAAGCAGAAAGCUCUAGGAGUGCAUAUCAAACCACCUCCAGUGUGAGUCAAGCCAGAGACCUAACUAAUCUAAUGCACUGAAAUGAAUUCUGAGGUAUUGAAUUUGCAUUAACUGUAAUUGACCCAUCCUGGAAAUUCUUCGCCCUUUACAAAAAGGUCUGGUUUUAUCCUUUUCCUCCAUGACCAAACCAAUUUCAAUGGGGGCAUGGUGACUCUCUCGAGGUUACUCUCGGGACUUCUGGUACAUUGCUGAAAUGUAAAUGGCUCCAGCUAUGCUUUCACACAUAGCUUCUGAAGAUCUGAUUAAUCUCUUUUAAACGGACAUGGAAUUGUAUUUGUCUACACCAGAUGAGAGAGGUCAUCACUUUUACAACCAUAUGGCUGGGCACUGCCUUAAAUCCUAACACCUUUUGUCACUACCGUUGUUUUGCACUUUAUCUGUUCUCUUUUGCCUUUUGAUUUCCACCUAAUUCCUCCAUAGUUUGGGAAAUAGGUUCAAAUUGAGGAUAGCUUAAAAUAAUUGAGGCUAUAAUGUUUGAUCUAGAAGGUGCAUUAGAAAAUAUUUAUGUAAGUUUUCUCAUUUUUGCAAAGGUCAAGAGGUUAGGUGGCUGCAUGGAUGGCAGGAGCAGUGGUAGAGAUUGGAGCAGAACUCAGCUGUCUUGGGUGAUCUUUGCACUUAAGAGGCCAUGUAUCUUCUUGGAUAUGAAUCAUACAAUUUCUGGACAUUUAGUAGGCCUUCAGAAGGAAAUGUUGGGUUAGUAGUUGUUCAACAUGGAAUUGCUAUGUAAGAUAUUUGAUCAGUAAGAAACUAGAUUCCUCUGUGAAACUGACAAAAAGUAGAAAGCAAUCUGAUUUAUAGGUCACCAUUUUCCCUUUGUUCCUUUGGACUUGAGAAUUGUGAAACACAGCCCAAGUAUGUAGAAAGAACCCAGGUAAAAAUGGGCUCUUUGCCCAUUUUAAAAUUUGCCCAUGCAAAUACACAAGCGAUAGAUUUGAUUUUGAUGGGAAAAUCUGGUCACAUUUCCCCUUUCAUCUUGGCUACCCUGCCACCGCAGAAAGCUCUGCCCUCAUGACUGCAGUGCAUUUGCUUAUGCAAAGUUGGUAUUAAAAAUCUGGUUCAUCAAAAGAGGAAAAAGAUGAUUGUCACAAGGGGAAGGCUUCUCAGAACUGAAGACAAGCUGCUCCUUUCCAACUGAAAAUGUCAAACAGUUAUUCAUACGGUUCUUACCAGACUUGAUUUAUGUGAGCAACUGCCAAUCCUUAACCUCCCCCUCAUGCAAGUGCAAAUGGAAAGCCUGUUCGUUCAGCCAUUAAUAUCGUGUUAGUUUUGUUUGAUAUCCUGAAUAGAAAAUCAUUUCUUCCCUCUAUGUAGGAGUUAUUGAUUUACCCUGAUGUUCACUUUAAAAUCUCUUAGUUUCUAAAUAUGCUUGUUGUUUACCUGCAGUGUUGUAAAAAAUAUGAUUAUUUUCUUUAUGGUUUUCUAGAAGUUUGGCUUUAAAAAAUAAACAUUGCAUGCAAACUGACUUGUAAUUUGAAUUCAUAUUUUCCAAGCCCAGUGAAAAUUACACUCCUUAUGGAAAGAGAAAAAAAA